CGCCCCCUUGACCGAGAAAUCCGCAGCCUGUGGGUUCAGGGGGGAGUACGGUCGCAAGGCUGAAACUUAAAGGAAUUGACGGAAUGGCACCACAAGGCGUGGAGUAUGCGGCUUAAUUUGACUCAACGCGGGGAAUGUUACCAGGUCCGGACGCAGCUGGGAUGGACAGACUGAGAGCUCUUUCUUGAUCCUGUGGACGGUGGUGCAUGGCCGCUCCUGAUUGGUGGAGUGAUUUGUCUGGUUGAUUCCGAUAACGAGUGAGACAUCUCCCUCCCAUCUAGCCUCGGGCUCGCAUUUGGUAGGGUCUUUGGGCCAUGGGCGUUCUUUCUGUCGGCGUCCGCUCGCACUCUGUUGGUUCUCCUUGGCGUCGCUGUGUUUUUCUUGUGGCUGCGGUGUGUGGUGUGGUGCAAAUCACACCAUUGCGCCGCUCUGCUUUUAUUCCACUGCCUCACCAUUCUGCGCUGCGCUGUGUGUUGUUGGCGCCGACGACGCCCAUCUUCGUGUUUUGCCCACCCGAGAGCCUUAUUUCCUUUUUGAGAUUCGCUUCUCUGAGGUGCUGUGUACGCUGCCACAAGUGCACGCAUGCUAGAGCCAACAGCAGGUCUGUGAUGCUCCCAGAUGUCCUGGGCCGCACGCGCACUACAUUGGCACGGAGAAGGAGCCAAUGCUAUAUGUGUAGUGAUAAUGGUGCCCACCUCGUCUUCUGUGGGCCCCGGC
rnacentral:rRNA from 1 species